CAGUCGCCGCGGGAAUACGUAGGUGGCAAGCGUUGUCCGGAAUUAUUGGGCGUAAAGGGCUCGCAGGCGGUUUCUUAAGUCUGAUGUGAAAGCCCCCGGCUCAACCGGGGAGGGUCAUUGGAAACUGGGAAACUUGAGUGCGGAAGAGGAGAGUGGAAUUCCACGUGUAGCGGUGAAAUGCGUAGAGAUGCGGAGGAACACCAGUGGGGAAGGCGACUCUCUGGUCUGUAACUGACGCUGAGGAGCGAAAGCGUGGGGAGCGAACAGGAUUAGAUACCCCGGUAGUCCCUGUCUCUUAUAC
rnacentral:rRNA from 1 species